UACGGAGGGUGCAAGCGUUAUCCGGAUUCACUGGGUUUAAAGGGUGCGUAGGAGGACAGGUAAGUCAGUGGUGAAAUCUCCAAGCUUAAACUUGGAACUGCCGUUGAUACUAUCUGCCUUGAAUACCGUGGAGGUGAGCGGAAUAUGUCAUGUAGCGGUGAAAUGCUUAGAUAUGACAUAGAACACCAAUUGCGAAGGCAGCUCACUAACACGAAUAUUGA
rnacentral:rRNA from 1 species